UACGGAGGGUGCAAGCGUUAUCCGGAUUCACUGGGUUUAAAGGGUGCGUAGGCGGGCAGGUAAGUCCGUGGUGAAAUCUCUGAGCUUAACUCAGAAACUGCCAUGGAUACUAUUUGUCUUGAAUAUUGUGGAGGUGAGCGGAAUAUGUCAUGUAGCGGUGAAAUGCUUAGAUAUGACAUAGAACACCAAUUGCGAAGGCAGCUGGCUACACAAAUAUUGACACUGAGGCACGAAAGCGUGGGGAUCAAACAGG
rnacentral:rRNA from 1 species